UUAAGCGACUAAGCGUACACGGUGGAUGCCCUGGCAGUCAGAGGCGAUGAAGGACGUUCUAAUCUGCGAUAAGCGUCGGUAAGGUGAUAUGAACCGUUAUAACCGGCGAUUUCCGAAUGGGGAAACCCAGUGUGUUUCGACACACUAUCAUUAACUGAAUCCAUAGGUUAAUGAGGCGAACCGGGGGAACUGAAACAUCUAAGUACCCCGAGGAAAAGAAAUCAACCGAGAUUCCCCCAGUAGCGGCGAGCGAACGGGGAGCAGCCCAGAGCCUGAAUCAGUGUGUGUGUUAGUGGAAGCGUCUGGAAAGGCGCGCGAUACAGGGUGACAGCCCCGUACACAAAAAUGCACAUGCUGUGAGCUCGAUGAGUAGGGCGGGACACGUGGUAUCCUGUCUGAAUAUGGGGGGACCAUCCUCCAAGGCUAAAUACUCCUGACUGACCGAUAGUGAACCAGUACCGUGAGGGAAAGGCGAAAAGAACCCCGGCGAGGGGAGUGAAAAAGAACCUGAAACCGUGUACGUACAAGCAGUGGGAGCACGCUUAGGCGUGUGACUGCGUACCUUUUGUAUAAUGGGUCAGCGACUUAUAUUCUGUAGCAAGGUUAACCGAAUAGGGGAGCCGAAGGGAAACCGAGUCUUAACUGGGCGUUAAGUUGCAGGGUAUAGACCCGAAACCCGGUGAUCUAGCCAUGGGCAGGUUGAAGGUUGGGUAACACUAACUGGAGGACCGAACCGACUAAUGUUGAAAAAUUAGCGGAUGACUUGUGGCUGGGGGUGAAAGGCCAAUCAAACCGGGAGAUAGCUGGUUCUCCCCGAAAGCUAUUUAGGUAGCGCCUCGUGAACUCAUCUCCGGGGGUAGAGCACUGUUUCGGCAAGGGGGUCAUCCCGACUUACCAACCCGAUGCAAACUGCGAAUACCGGAGAAUGUUAUCACGGGAGACACACGGCGGGUGCUAACGUCCGUCGUGAAGAGGGAAACAACCCAGACCGCCAGCUAAGGUCCCAAAGUCAUGGUUAAGUGGGAAACGAUGUGGGAAGGCCCAGACAGCCAGGAUGUUGGCUUAGAAGCAGCCAUCAUUUAAAGAAAGCGUAAUAGCUCACUGGUCGAGUCGGCCUGCGCGGAAGAUGUAACGGGGCUAAACCAUGCACCGAAGCUGCGGCAGCGACGCUGAUGCGUUGUUGGGUAGGGGAGCGUUCUGUAAGCCUGUGAAGGUGUGCUGUGAGGCAUGCUGGAGGUAUCAGAAGUGCGAAUGCUGACAUAAGUAACGAUAAAGCGGGUGAAAAGCCCGCUCGCCGGAAGACCAAGGGUUCCUGUCCAACGUUAAUCGGGGCAGGGUGAGUCGACCCCUAAGGCGAGGCCGAAAGGCGUAGUCGAUGGGAAACAGGUUAAUAUUCCUGUACUUGGUGUUACUGCGAAGGGGGGACGGAGAAGGCUAUGUUGGCCGGGCGACGGUUGUCCCGGUUUAAGCGUGUAGGCUGGUUUUCCAGGCAAAUCCGGAAAAUCAAGGCUGAGGCGUGAUGACGAGGCACUACGGUGCUGAAGCAACAAAUGCCCUGCUUCCAGGAAAAGCCUCUAAGCAUCAGGUAACAUCAAAUCGUACCCCAAACCGACACAGGUGGUCAGGUAGAGAAUACCAAGGCGCUUGAGAGAACUCGGGUGAAGGAACUAGGCAAAAUGGUGCCGUAACUUCGGGAGAAGGCACGCUGAUAUGUAGGUGAAGUCCCUCGCGGAUGGAGCUGAAAUCAGUCGAAGAUACCAGCUGGCUGCAACUGUUUAUUAAAAACACAGCACUGUGCAAACACGAAAGUGGACGUAUACGGUGUGACGCCUGCCCGGUGCCGGAAGGUUAAUUGAUGGGGUCAGCGCAAGCGAAGCUCUUGAUCGAAGCCCCGGUAAACGGCGGCCGUAACUAUAACGGUCCUAAGGUAGCGAAAUUCCUUGUCGGGUAAGUUCCGACCUGCACGAAUGGCGUAAUGAUGGCCAGGCUGUCUCCACCCGAGACUCAGUGAAAUUGAACUCGCUGUGAAGAUGCAGUGUACCCGCGGCAAGACGGAAAGACCCCGUGAACCUUUACUAUAGCUUGACACUGAACAUUGAGCCUUGAUGUGUAGGAUAGGUGGGAGGCUUAGAAGUGUGGACGCCAGUCUGCAUGGAGCCGACCUUGAAAUACCACCCUUUAAUGUUUGAUGUUCUAACGUUGACCCGUAAUCCGGGUUGCGGACAGUGUCUGGUGGGUAGUUUGACUGGGGCGGUCUCCUCCUAAAGAGUAACGGAGGAGCACGAAGGUUGGCUAAUCCUGGUCGGACAUCAGGAGGUUAGUGCAAUGGCAUAAGCCAGCUUGACUGCGAGCGUGACGGCGCGAGCAGGUGCGAAAGCAGGUCAUAGUGAUCCGGUGGUUCUGAAUGGAAGGGCCAUCGCUCAACGGAUAAAAGGUACUCCGGGGAUAACAGGCUGAUACCGCCCAAGAGUUCAUAUCGACGGCGGUGUUUGGCACCUCGAUGUCGGCUCAUCACAUCCUGGGGCUGAAGUAGGUCCCAAGGGUAUGGCUGUUCGCCAUUUAAAGUGGUACGCGAGCUGGGUUUAGAACGUCGUGAGACAGUUCGGUCCCUAUCUGCCGUGGGCGCUGGAGAACUGAGGGGGGCUGCUCCUAGUACGAGAGGACCGGAGUGGACGCAUCACUGGUGUUCGGGUUGUCAUGCCAAUGGCACUGCCCGGUAGCUAAAUGCGGAAGAGAUAAGUGCUGAAAGCAUCUAAGCACGAAACUUGCCCCGAGAUGAGUUCUCCCUGACCCUUUAAGGGUCCUGAAGGAACGUUGAAGACGACGACGUUGAUAGGCCGGGUGUGUAAGCGCAGCGAUGCGUUGAGCUAACCGGUACUAAUGAACCGUGAGGCUUAACCUU
rnacentral:rRNA from 1 species